UCUUAGAAAUCUUUGCCUGAAGACAUAAGCAGCAUGCAUGUCCACCCAUGAAUUCUUCCCCUACUUCAAUUGUUUGUUCUUUACCAUCCGUAACACGGGCUUUGUCAAGUCAUGCCAGAUGGGAUUACUUCUGGUCUCUGGUUUGCCUAAACUUAAUAAGGGAAAGGAAAUCUGAUUAGCAUUAAAGAUAGCUGAGUAAGCAGGAUGAACUCAUAUAUUUUCAAAGUGAGCAGGUUAGCUGCCCAGAUACUUUAAUUGCUGAACUUUGCACAACUGCAUUUCCACCACUGUUCAUGACAUCUGUGGUUCUGGAAACAUUUUUGACAACAAAGAACCAUGUGAAGCCAUUUUAGAAAUGCAAUAUAGUUAUGAAUGAGUGAACCCAGGGAAACUGAAUUUGAUAAUAAAUGUGGAAAUUAGAAAAGCCCUAAAAUUGGCUAAAAUGUAUUUAUUUUCCUAGCUAUUAUAGUCAUACUGUGCUUGCUGCUACCAAUGGCACCAGUAGUGCUCUACUACAUGUGAUAUGUUUGAAAAUGAAAAUUGCCAUAGAUCUGUGAAUUUCAAAUGAAUCCUGAGUGUCCGUACUGUGUAGCAAUUUAUAGCAACUGAAUAUCUGCCCUAAAUACUUGAAAUAAGUCUUUUGUUAGGAAGUAAAUUGAGGAUCUUUCUACAUCAGGUAUGUGUGUUUGUACUUUUCUGUUGUGCUCAUGUAUGCAGUAAUUGCAAGAAUAUUCCUUCACAGAUCCAAAAGGUGAUCCAAGGCAUAGAUGCUAGGAGUAGUAACUUGCUUGCCACAGGGACAUCCUGAUGAUUAAAUACUAUCGCCAGCUAUGGGCAGUGGUAAAGUUGAAAUCUGCCUCGGACAACAGAUUGCUGAAAGCUUGCAAAUGGCUCUGACCCUGCUGCUUGCUUUGCCUGUGGCAAAACCAGGAAGGCCCAUGCUGAGAGCCAAGCUACUGCAUGAGGACGAAGGGACCUAUGCCCGAUGGCUCUCCUGAAGAAAGGCAGGUGACCAGGAGCAGCAAAAGAGACAUUUGAAGAGUGUAGCUGCAGAGCCUGUGCUUGCAGUCAAAGGGACUUUGGCAGAUUUUGCCUCUCCGUUUUGUUUUGAGGAUUGAGGACAGCAGAUGGGAGCUGUGAAGAUCAGACACUCACCCAAAGGCCAUGCACAUGCCGCAGGACUGUAUCCUUUUCCUCAUCAAAUGUCAGGAGUUUAGAGAAGAGUCUUGAGACUACUUCCAAUCCUUUAAUCAGUCAUUUACUAUAAAAUUUCUGGGUGCCAUUCAUUUCAGCGUAGCAGAGAAAAGGCUAAGGGCUGACUUGCUUUCCAACUAUAGAUCAUGAUCAGAAAUUGAUAAAUUAGGGGUUUUCAGUGUUACAGAUGAGGACGUGACUAGUAGCCAGUAGCUCAUGCUCAACAGAUUCAGUGUGGAAGUUGAAUGCACAGGGUCAGCUUUGCUUUAUGAUUUCUUUGCUGUUGUUCAAACAGUGAGGGUAAACAACAAACCAAUGAAUGUUGUGGAUUCGCUCUCAUAUUUAAUAUUUUUUUAAUAAAUCCAAACCCUUUUAAAGAGAUCUACAUGUUUUAAAGUGAUCAUUUAUUCAGAGAAAUUCAAUAGCCUUGUCCAUAGGAAACCAUCCUAGCCUUUCAAUCCAGAAGAUUUUGUAUCUGCUUCACAUACAGAAGCAUAUUAAUAUGUAUCACACAACAGUAUAAUUUCCCACAGUGCCUGCCCUGAAUCUGGUGGGAAGGGAGAAACACAGGAAAAGAUACAAAAACAAAUACCAUAUCAACUAAAAAUAGGAUCUGCAUAAUGAUUUUCAACUGGUGGAGAAGGGGAUUGAUGAAUUCCCACAGAACUGGGAAACAGCAUGCAUCACCCAUUCUCAGGAGGUCAGUAACCAUGGGAUGUUUCAUCCUGGCUCCUCCCUUCUGAAAUCCACAAGCAUUGGCGUAGAAACAAAAUAGAAAAUAUUCAUUGCUGCCUUGUAACAUUUGAAGUCGUUUCCAGCUUUUCUGCACUCUUCUACACAGUUAUCUUUUCCUUUUUGUAUGACUAGGAGGUGCACAUCUAAAUCCGAAGUGACAACAAGAAGUAAUCAAGAUAAUCGUCGUUUUGGUGGCUCCAAAACCCAUGAAGUAUCUAUGCUUUGGUUGCAAAAAUUCUCACCUGGUGACCUUAAAGGAUCUGCUACUACUUAAUUGUUUCCUCUACGUGGAUGCACCUCCAUAAAUCCUCCCCUGACACCUCUGCAAAGGCUCCAAUGAUGGAUGAAGUCAAAAAGACUGGAAAAAAAAGCAGAGGUCCAAGCGCUAUGCUUCUUACAUCAGUUCUGGAAAUUGGCAGCAGCUAUGUCAGCAGAAAUACCAUUUUGCUAAUGUAAGCAAGGCUGUGGACAAUCACCUUCUUCCAAGGUGGGCUGUACUGGGUUUUGAGAUGUUAUUGUCCCCAAGCUGUUCAUUGUUUGCCUGACACCUUCCACAGCCUUGCAGGUGUAAAAGAAAUCGUGCCACUCCUGAUCCAGCUGGAUAUCCUGAAACUAGAGCCCUGUGUGGACUGAAUCCACUGGUCAUGCUCCGAGCAAAUGGAGAAGGGAAGCAUCUCCAUAUCAGCAGAACAGGGAUGGUGACAACCUCCAGCAAAGAGGAGACAACAAACAGCUGAUAGCAUACUCAACUUGAAAAAUUUUACUGUUUUUAAAAUGUCAAAAACUUAUUUUAGGAUGGAUUGCUGCCAUGGUCAUCCCUUUAUAACAGGAAAGUUUUUUUUCUAGUGAAAACAGGUUUAAAAUAUCCUAUAGACAGUAGCAUGAAAGUAUUUGUUCAUAAAGCCUGCAUGUAAUGAAUAUGGAAGAGGAUGUGCAGACAUAUUUAACUUUGGCUGUUUUUGCAAUCCCCAUGUACUCUGAAGAUAGGUUUUAUAUGGAAUACACACACACACACGAAAAAUAUUUAACAUAAUCCAACAGCAUAAAAACAUAAAAAGCAUAAAACAUCCUGAUUUUCUGUGAUGAAAAAUUGCAAAAAAAAAUCAAAAAUAAUAUAUUUAAAUUGACUAGUAUAAAAUAGAGGCAUUUUUUAAAGGCUCUGAACAUUUUCAGCAGCACAGACAUUUUAAUUCAUGCUCUGUGCUUAACUAAUGGCAGCUGCAUUCUCCAAAAUUGCACACUUGGUCCUAUCCUCCCACACUCUCUCACAGCUAACCAACAAAAACUCUCAAGGGUUUAAAAAUAAUCUUACUGAGCUCAGGGCAAAGGAGGCUUUUACACUGAUGGUAUGCUACAGACCUUUUGUAAAUCAGUUAUCAAUCCCAAGAUAAAACUACAAAUUUAGAGAUAGAUUUUUAAGUCUAAUUUUGCAUGUGGUAAUUAUUAAUAAAAUAAUAAACUGAUAGACAGCAGUCUAGUGUUCACUAUGUACUGACUAUUAGUUCUGCAAAUGUCUCAUUUAUGUUGCUUUUCAGGACUCAAAAGAAAGCAUUAAAAUUACCAUCGGCAUUUUUAACUAAUGAUAAAUCUAGAUGAUUUUGAUGGAGCCUUAAUUUUCUAGGGAACUGAUACUUCUCACCAUCACUGAUGCUAAUUGACUGGGGCCAGUGAGAAGUUUCACUGACCUCAGUUAAAUUUAGGCAGCUCCUUUGAAAAUGGGGUGCCUAAUUAAGCCAUGAUUUUGACAAUGUUACGUCUAUGCCAAUAUUUGGAUCAAAACAAAGAUGCUUUAAAAAUAUUACAACAGUUGGUGAAAACAAUCAUAACAAACGGAGAUGAAGAAAUCAUCCCUUUUUCGAGGGGAAGCAUUUAUCUAUAAAUUAUAUUUAUCAGCAGCAGGUACUACGUAAGAAUGUGUAUUGACACACACGCCUUACAGCAGUGGUGCUAAAAAUCCCAAGAAACUAGGUAAAAAAUGAAGCAAUGCAACCAGGAAAAAAAAAGUGGCAAUAGAAUGCUGCUAAGGCUGCCUAUAUAGAUACAAAAUAUAACCUGAUGUAUUUUGCUGACUGUGUUUAACAUUUUUCAAGAGUUUACCCCCUUCUUGUGGAUGCACAGCAUAGACCUCAGCUACAUAGCAGCCACUUGUUGCUGCGUGACCCAUUGCACCAGAUAGAGCUAGUCACUGUGCUGUAGGCAGACUCCACAUCUGGGGCAGCUGUCUAACAUUUCUUAAUGCUCAUAGUGUACUGUGACCGUGUGGUGCAUGCAUAGUCAUUUUAAUGCUUUCAUCGCUCAGACCAUCCAUGAAAAUGUUAGAUCAGAUUGACCAGUCUUGGCCAUGGAUCUGCCUUUAGCUUAAGGGUAGUUCAAGAGUAGAUCCUGCCCCAGGGCCACAUGAUACAACCGGAAGCAGAGUUGUGGCAGUGCAGGAGCUAUUGCAUAAUCCAAAUACUAGACUGGUGUCACCCUUGGGCCCAGCAAUAUACCCACCCCCCGUUUACAGUGGGACCAUUGUCAUCUUCCUCUUUAUUAACUACUCCCAUCAACUCUUAGUAUUUUGGCCGUAUGAAAAUUUCAACAGAAAGUGGUUAGGAUCAGGAUUAAGUUCUGUGCUGCCAAACACAGAAGAUAUGACCUCUUUGGUGUGUAUCAGCCACUGAGAAAACCAUCAUUCCAAUGCAUCAGGGCAAUAAAGUACAGCUGGCCCUAAAGUUUCAUUAUCAAAGGGCUUUCAUAUGUCAGACAUUCACCCAGACAAGAUUUUGAGGGCGACGGGUCUGGGUAAAACUCAAACAUUUGGCGGCCUAGCUCACAGUCAAGGGUGUCCUGAUUUACUCCCUGACUCCAGGGAAGUGCCGCAGCCUGCUACGUGUGGUGGGAAGAUUUGGCACAGCCGGUAAGCAGAGCCAGUGACUUGUGAGAUGCCUCUUGCAUCUCAUACAUGUCCUCCUGCCUGCAAGCUACAGCUUUCGUUCUACUCCUUGAGCCCAUGGGCCAGAAGUGCAACUGAGAGGGGAGAGACUGCCAGAUGCAUAAGGGCACAAUGCAGGAACUAGUUGCAGAAUUUCAGCUCCUUUUGAGACUUACUGAAUCUGUGAUUUUAACUGUUGUAAAUGUGGGAGUCCGUUUCCCUUCCCUCUCCAUGUUAUUUCAGUGUUGUGCCAAUGAAAUGCUGCUGGCUGCUCAAAUCAGAAGAGUUGCAUUUAAAAACAAGAGUAGUCAGUGGUGAAUUUAACAUACGGUUUUAAGCUGUAAACAGUCACUAGAAUUGAGUUCAUGAAAAAGGACAUGGGACUAAGUGAGGGAAUAGUGAAAAUAUUUUUUAAAAAAGAUAAACAUUAAUGACAGGGAGCUAGAAAAAGCAGGAGGAAGGAAAGAGCCUGAGAAAAUUAGGGAGGAAGUAAGAGGAUGGAAACAGAAGCAUCAUUGUGGACAGAGAAGGGUACAUUGAAAGAGAACGUGCAAACACUGGCAACACGCUGGGAGAAAAGAGAAAUACAGAAAAGAGGGAAACGAAUAAUAUAUUGCUUCAUUUGCACUUUAGUUCUUAAGUGGAUUUUGGAGUUAUUACUGCAAUCUUAAAGUUUUCCAACUGAAUUGGAAUCAAGUCCUCACUUCACCCUUCACAUCCUAUUAGGUAGUUCUUGGAUCAUAACUUAUUUAUAGGCUCUCAUAAUCUCCUGUCCUGACUCUUGUAGCUUUCUUACAGCUUGACCUUCUAGAGCCGUAUAUGUCUUCCAUAAGGCACAGACUAAAUGCAGCCACCUCAGCAUCCACCUGCAGCUGGCCUCCCUUUUCAUCAUUUCACUCUGAGUUUUGGUUUCCCUUCUAGAGCCUUCUGAACAAAUUCUUCACUCAUCUUAGCACAUUUUGCAUCAUCCCACUGUGUUAUAAGCACAAGUAGUUGUGGGCUAGGUGAGUGGACGGUGAGGUGGCUUGAGAACUGGCUGGAUGGCC